UCAUGUUCCGUAGCGCUGUACAAAUGGGAUAGUUAAGUCAUAAGGGAUUUUUGCAGAUUUUUGUGAAAUAAUGCAAUAAUUUUAAUCAAAACACCAGGUGUAUAAUUCGUGACCUUUUCGGCCAUAGGCGAUUUGGGUAUGGGACGCCUAACGCCAUUUGCGGCCUCUGGACUUAAAGGGCGACAUCAUAUUUUAUGCUUCCUGUUUGUGAUGGAAGCGGAUGGGGAAUGCCAAAGGAUCCUGGAAAAAGGAUCUGGCGUUUUAUUGGGCUGAAAUGAGUACAUCACGCACGUUGUGCCGGAAUGGGAAAGCCUAACAAAAAAAACAAAA